AACCGUCUUUGAAGUAGCCAAGUCAUUCUCUCUGCAGCCUGCACCUUGGGAACCCAGUCACCACAGAGGGAAAAUUUGGAGGACAAAAAUCAGAGAAUAUUCUUCCAAAGGAUGACAGUGGAUUUGAGGGGCCCAAGAUGAUCAAGAAGAGGGGCCUGGGUCUUCAGCCUGUCCCUGCCUGGCUGUGUCCUCUUCUGAGUCCACCUGGCAAAGGCUCUUUCUCACACCGACUGGCAGCCCUGUGAUUGGGAGAAAGCCCGGCUCAGGAGGCCCCUUACCGUCCAGCCCAUGUUUCUCCGGGAGGAGAUGUGAUAGAGCAGAAAGAAGGUUGAGGCGCGGUUCACAAGAGCAUGCUUGAGUCCCCACUGCCGCAGUUCCCAGCUGGGUGAUCCUUCUCAGCGUGGUGCCUCAUCCCCGUGGACCUCUGUCUCAUCACCUGCAAAACCCAGCAGCAAGAGUCCAGAUCUUCCAGCUGCCAGUCCACGUUCCUUCUGCUCUGUCUGCUGUGGAUAACACAAAGACC